AGAGUUUGAUCCUGGCUCAGGAUGAACGCUAGCGGCAGGCUUAAUACAUGCAAGUCGUGGGGCAGCAGGUCCGUAGCAAUACGGAUGCUGGCGACCGGCAAACGGGUGCGUAACACGUACGCAACCUUCCUUCAGGCGGGGAAUAGCCCGGGGAAACCCGGAUUAAUACCCCAUAAAAUCUUGGGAUGGCAUCAUCCUAUUAUUAAAGCUUCGGCACCUGAUGAUGGGCGUGCGGCUGAUUAGGUAGUUGGCGGGGUAACGGCCCACCAAGCCAGCGAUCAGUAGCUGAUGUGAGAGCAUGAUCAGCCACACGGGCACUGAGACACGGGCCCGACUCCUACGGGAGGCAGCAGUAAGGAAUAUUGGUCAAUGGACGAAAGUCUGAACCAGCCAUGCCGCGUGGAGGAUGAAGGUCCUCUGGAUUGUAAACUUCUUUUAUUUGGGACGAAAAAGGGGAAUUCUUUCCCACUUGACGGUACCAGAUGAAUAAGCACCGGCUAACUCCGUGCCAGCAGCCGCGGUAAUACGGAGGGUGCAAGCGUUAUCCGGAUUCACUGGGUUUAAAGGGUGCGUAGGCGGAUAGGUAAGUCCGUGGUGAAAUCCUGCAGCUUAACUGCAGAACUGCCAUGGAUACUAUUUAUCUUGAAUGUCGUGGAGGUUAGCAGAAUAUGUCAUGUAGCGGUGAAAUGCUUAGAUAUGACAUAGAAUACCCAUUGCGAAGGCAGCUAACUACGCGAUAAUUGACGCUGAUGCACGAAAGCGUGGGGAUCAAACAGGAUUAGAUACCCUAGUAGUCC
rnacentral:rRNA from 1 species